rnacentral:rRNA from 1 species
GUGCCAGCCGCCGCGGUAAUACGGAGGGUGCAAGCGUUAUCCGGAUUUAUUGGGUUUAAAGGGUCCGUAGGCGGAUGUGUAAGUCAGUGGUGAAAUCUCACAGCUUAACUGUGAAACUGCCAUUGAUACUGCAUGUCUUGAGUAAGGUAGAAGUGGCUGGAAUAAGUAGUGUAGCGGUGAAAUGCAUAGAUAUUACUUAGAACACCAAUUGCGAAGGCAGGUCACUAUGUCUUAACUGACGCUGAUGGACGAAAGCGUGGGGAGCGAACAGGAUUAGAAACCCCCGUAGUCC